rnacentral:rRNA from 1 species
GAUGAACGCUGGCGGCGUGCCUAAUACAUGCAAGUCGAGCGAACAGACGAGGAGCUUGCCUCUCUGACGUUAGCGGCGGACGGGUGACUAACACGUGGAUAACCUACCUAUAAGACUGGGAUAACUUCGGGAAACCGGAGCUCAUACCGGCUACUAUAUUGAACCGCAUGGCUCCAUAGUGAGAGCCGGUUUUGCUGUCACUUAUAGAUGGAUCCGCGCCGCAUUAGCUAGUUGGUAAGGUAACGGCUUACCAAGGCAACGAUGCGUAGCCGACCUGAGAGGGUGAUCAGCCACACUGGAACUGAGACACGGUCCAGACUCCUACGGGAGGCAGCAGUAGGGAAUCUUCCGCAAUGGGCGAAAUCCUGACGGAGCAACGCCGCGUGAGUGAUGAAGGUCUUCGGAUCGUAAAACUCUGUUAUUAGGGAAGAACAAAUGUGUAAGAAACUAUGCACGUCUUGACGGUACCGAAACAGAAAGCCACGGCUAACUACGUG